rnacentral:rRNA from 1 species
UACGGAGGGUGCAAGCGUUGUCCGGAUUUAUUGGGCGUAAAGAGCGUGUAGGCGGUCCGGUAAGUCCGCUGUGAAAGUCGGGGGCUCAACCCUCGAAUGCCGGUGGAUACUGUCGGGCUAGAGUACGGAAGAGGCGAGUGGAAUUCCUGGUGUAGCGGUGAAAUGCGCAGAUAUCAGGAGGAACACCUAUUGCGAAGGCAGCUCGCUGGGACGUAACUGACGCUGAGACGCGAAAGCGUGGGGAGCAAACAGG